rnacentral:lncRNA from 1 species
AUUAACCUAUUGGCUUCCAUUGUAUAGUAGUUUAGUAACUAUGAAGACUGGUUUGUAAGGAAGGAAACGUUUACUACUAAGGUUAGGCCUGCAGUUGCUCUGGAACAUUCCAUGGAGAAUGCAUUCAUCAAACGGCCCGAAAGAAGCUACAUUUUGUUGGGAAGCUGGAUAAGUUUUAGGUGCAGGACCCCAAAUGUUCUGAGACCUUUGGGGCCAUUUAUUACUUUGUACAAGCCCAAUAAUCCUCUCUUUUCUGCCAAGUCCUCAACCCAGAAAUGUAGGCUUCUGUGCACCACACGGCACAGCCCACUGAUUGCUGCCACCGGCUCUGUCUUGGUCAGUGUUACCACUGCCAGCACUCAGGCUGUGGCAGAUGCCAGCAGCUCUUACCAUCAGUCAGAGUCUUCAGGGUGUCAAGCUGUUUUCAUUUUUUAGGCAAAUAGAACAAAAGCCAUUUUGGUUCAUCCUGAUCACUUGAAUGAUAGACUCAAUGCCCUGUGCCUGGCAGGGAGCGCUUGCAGAGGUGUCCUAGCCUUAGAGGGCUACUUCAGUGUCUCUACUGACAGAAACUCCUGUAUCUCAAAUGGAUCUCGAAGUUCUCUAGUAAGGAGUCCUAAGGAUGACAUGUAUUGGGCCACUAGCAGGGAUUGAAAACAUUUUAAAAGAAAUCCUUUUUCUUAGGAGUAAAAGCUGGUAAAAGGGGUGACUUCCUGGUUCUGAUCAAAACCAGACCAAACCCUCAUUUCAGCAAAGCCUUGCAAGACACUCCCUUGCUCAUUUGCCAUAUUUAGAUGUCUUAGUGGAGUCAGAGCCCUGUUUGGUAUGUGUUUUUCAUGCUAAGUCUAAAUUGUCUUUUCAUUUCAUGAUGCAUUUUUUCUCUUUUGUCAGGAUAACAUCAUAUAGCAUCUUGUUUGUUUUUCCUAAUCUCUAUGUACAUAUCUAUCUACCUGUAACCGUAGAUAGGUAUCUAGAUAGAUACCAAGCUUUUAAGCUCUGGGCUACUAUGCAUCAUUAUUGGGUCUCUGCCUUAAAACACAUCCAAAUUUAUAUUAGAAAAAAAAAAAAACUGUAUCUUUUUCUUUGGUCACUAAGAUCCCCUGACCAUGUCUUUAUGGCCACAAAUUAUACUGUGUCACUGAUCAUAUAUAUGUGUGUGUGUAUGUAUAUGUAUGUGUGUGUGUGUAUAUAUAUAUAUAUAUAUAUAUAUAGCCACACAUGAUCAUACUUAUAUAUGAUGUUUCCAUAUAUGUGCUGUGUGUUUAAGUUUUGUAUCAUCCAGACUGAUACCAAAUUUUAAGGUUUUUUUUUUUUUAACAAAGACAAUACACACAUAAGCACAUUAAAACAGGAAUGCUAUGAUACUGUUUAGCAUUUGCUCUGCUGCCUAUCUUUCUCUGUUUUUAAUUAACAAUUGGAUUUUAUUGGAAGAAGAAAAAGCAGUUUCAUUAUUUUGGAUGAUGAUGCAGAGACUCAUGUUAAUGAACUCGAAAAUGGUGUUGCUUCAUGUACUUUGAAAACCAAUCAGGUGUUUCCUGCGCUACUACUUGUCAUGUUGCAUUCAUGUUCACAUCCUGAUUUCACUGCCUCAGAUGUGCCUGGCCACAAAGCACUCUGAACUAAUUCCUAAAGAGAAGCAACAAUAUGUGUAUGUGGGGGGGUUGAUCACAUACAUGUACCAUCGUGUGAUCAUAGUACUAUGAUUUGCUUUUGACGUCUGUCCUAGUGAUGUGUGUUGUCUGCUGGCAUGCUUGCAGCACAUGUCCAUUAAAGGUCAUUUUGUUUAUUUGUUGGCAUGCUUACAACACAUGUCCAUUAAAGUUCAUUUGGUCCUUUU